CUUCUUUUUUGUGUUACCGUCGAUCCCGAAGGACGAUCAGUUUUUUUUUUUUUUUUUUUUUUUUUUUUUUUUUGUUCUUUCGUUAUUCGAAAGAAAGAGAGGGAGAGAGAGAGAGAACGGCGUAGCGGUGUAUACCAGAAGAGGGGUGCUGCAAACAGAUCUUCCCACAUCA